rnacentral:rRNA from 1 species
AUACGUAGGGAGCGAGCGUUGUCCGGAAUUACUGGGUGUAAAGGGAGCGUAGGCGGGAGUGCAAGUCAGAUGUGAAAUACAUGGGCUCAACCCAUGGGCUGCAUUUGAAACUGCAUUUCUUGAGUGAAGUAGAGGUAAGCGGAAUUCCUGGUGUAGCGGUUAAAUGCGUAGAUAUCAGGAGGAACAACGGUGGCGAAGGCGGCUUACUGGGCUUUUACUGACGCUGAGGCUCGAAAGCGUGGGGAGGAAACAGGAUUAGAUACCCUGGUAGUCCACGCUGUAAACGAUGAUUACUAGGUGUGGGGGGACUGACCCCUUCCGUGCCGCAGUUAACACAAUAAGUAAUUCACCUGGGGAGUACGGCCGCAAGGUUGAAACUCAAAGGAAUUGACGGGG